AGAUGGAAGCGCGAGCGGACCGUGACAUCUUUCACUGUACAGAUCCCCAGAAUGGGUUCCAUAGAGCUGCCGGUUGGGUGGGUGUAUGCUUUCUCCUUCUUUGCUCUUCCCUACAAAUGCCAGGACAAGGAACCUAGAUAGGAAAUGAUAAUGCUUCACUCAUGGGUUUAAAAGUAGCUGGCUCCCUCACCUGAGACUCAAAACAGGCUCUCAAGAACAAAUUGUAUGGCAUAUCUUUGAUGUUAACGCUCUCAUUCGAAACCAGCAACUUUGAGAAGUAGGUGGAAAUC
rfam:Equus caballus chromosome 4, whole genome shotgun sequence.